rnacentral:rRNA from 1 species
UACAGAGGUCCCGAGCGUUGUUCGGAUUUAUUGGGCGUAAAGGGCGCGUAGGCGGCCACCGCAAGUCGACUGUGAAAUCUCCGGGCUUAACCCGGAAAGGUCAGCCGAUACUGCGGGGCUAGAGUGCAGAAGGGGCAACUGGAAUUCUCGGUGUAGCGGUGAAAUGCGUAGAUAUCGAGAGGAACACCUGCGGCGAAGGCGGGUUGCUGGGCUGACACUGACGCUGAGGCGCGAAAGCUAGGGUAGCAAACGGG